CUCUUUUUGUGGCCCAUCCCUAAUUUUCAAUCUCUUGUGUAUGAUAUUGAACAGGGAGUGUUGACCGUCUGUAUCGUUUUCUAUCAUUUCUCAAGGUAUGUGGAAGAAAAUGCUUUAUUGUACUGAACAUGCAGUCUGUGCCAGUGUAGGUAGUGCUGAUAAUAACAAAACUUUCGUUGGUAGGAAUGCAAUUACCUGAAAUAUACAAGGAGAAAUUCGACGUUUCGAGCGAAGACCUUCGCGUCGGGAAGUUGCCUUCGACUUCGCUCGGUACGUCGAAUUUGUCCUUGUAUUUUCAGGUAAUUGCAUCCCUACCAACGAGAGUGUUGUUUUUAUUGUGCCAAGUGUUUCCUAAAGAUUUUUAUUGACAUUCAGUAAAGUUCUUUUUGAAAAACGUGAGUAUUUUGUUUUGAACAGGUAAAUUAUUGCAUCGUUGGACGCGAAAACACAACAACGACUUCAGGUAUUAUCACCGUGGCAUAUUAUUUACAAGUUAAAUACAUUGGUUUUUAAACAGAAACCGUUGCUGUUUCAUUUAAUCGACUUUUUAAGCUAUAUCCAAUUUAAAAUAGGCAUAUCGGGAUUUGCAUUGGUGAUUUAAUGUUUUAUAGAAUUUGAAGGAGUACUAUCGUAGAAUAUUAAGCGCUGUAGUGUGAGAGAUACAACUAUACCUGAAAAAUAUAAGUCUUAUUUUUUUACCUUUAUAAUGAUUUUGAUUCACGGCCAUACUAAAGAAUAUAUUCGAAAGUAAUUUCAAGCUAUUAACUUUUUCCACAUCGCGAAACCGCAAUAAAUACGCAUGGCUCUGCAAGCGUUGUAUCAAUUUCUAUGACGCGCCGUUUCGGCUAAAAGUAUUCCAGAAUCAGAAUUCAUGUCGAGACUCGAGAAUCGUAUUUGAUAACUUACGAGCGUUCGAGAUUUUACAAGUAUUCGAGAUUUUGCAGCUAUUCCGAGAUUUUACAUGUAUUUGAGAUUUUACAGCUAUUCGAGAUUUUACAGUUAUUCGAGAUUUUACCACAUCAAAGUUUAUAUUCGGCCAUUUUCAAAAGGGGGAACGGGGAAUCUUUAAAAAGGGGAAUCUUUAGCUUUGCGUGCAUGGUGUUAGAUUUUCGACUUCAGAAUCUUUUGCGUACAUUAAUUUACGAUAUAUUAUAUUUUGUGUAAUUGUUUUCAUAAAAACGCACACUGCUAUGAGUAUAGUAGUUAACAUGUAUAGCCGGCAGGUAGCUAGCCUAGAAGUGAUUAUUAAAACGUUGUUCGCUGUACGCCAGUGUGGAGAGUUUGUAUCGCGCAACCGAUAUAUCGGACGCGCAAUUUUGAUGCUUUUAAUUCUACAGUAUAUAUUUCACUAUUAAAUUUUUCACUAUUAAGAAUUCUCGGUUGAGCAAUUUGCAAACGUUCCAGUCAGGGAUGUAUACGUAAUAAAUAUAAUUGUUUUCGUAUAUCUUCACUGAAGAUGGCUUCCCUGCAGCGAGCCCUGCAGCUCAUUUAUUUUAUUAUAAUUGCGUUUUUCUGAACACAUUUGCAACUAAUAACUAUAUCAUACAAUUGAAUAUUGUUGAAAAGCUAAAUAUUUAAAGUGAAAAAAACUUCUAAAUGCCGAGUUUGAGACGGAUACGGGCAUACGGCGUUCUUCAUGGUCUUUCAAAAAAAUCGAUUAAAGAGGUCCAAAUUUCCUUCAAUUCAGGGAGAUUUCAUUAAAAGUGAGAACGCAGAUCUGCAGUUGUCUUUGUGUGUUGAUCUAUAUAUACAUGUAUCUAUGGUGUUGAUCUCUUAUCUCAAUUUCCGCUUUCUGUUUGGUCCAUUCUUCUCCUUUCUCCCAUGAGCCUUUUUGUUUUCAGACUCUCAUCUUUCUGGGCCCAUCCCUAACUUUGAAUCUUUUAUGGUAUUGAGCAGAGAGUGUUGCAUAUUUCUUUAUUCGUUCCAAUCAUUUCUCAAGGUAUGUGGAAGAAAAUGCUUUAUUGUACUGAACAGUCUGUGCCAGUGUAGGUAGUGCCGAUAAUAACAAAACUUUCGUUGCUAAGGAUGCAACUACCUGAAAAAUACAAGGAGAAAUUCCACAUUUCCAGCGAAGGCUCUUCGCGUCGGGAAGUUGCCUUCGGUUUCGCUCGAAACGUCGAAUUUCUUGUAUUUUUCAGGUAGUUGCAUCCCCUACCAACGAAAGUUUUGUUUUUAUUGUACUGGCCAAGUGUUUCCUAAAAUUUUCUAUUGACACAGGCCAUAUUAAAGAGUAACACAAACACAACAAGAACUGCAUGUAUUAUCACCGCGGUAUUAUGUUAGAGUUAAACACAUUGUUUCUAAACAGAAACUGUUUCUAUUUCAUUUAAUCAACUUUUUAAGCUAUAUUCGAUAAAAAUGGGCAUAUAUCAGGGUUUGCAUUGCCAUUGGUGAUUUAAUGUUUUAGAAUUUGAAGGAGUAUUAUCGUAUAGAAUAUUAAGCGCUGUAGUGAGAGAGAUACAACUACCUGAAAAAUAUAAGUCUUAUUUUUUUACCUUUAUAAUGAUUUUGAUUCAGGGACAUUCUAAAGAAUAUAUUCGAAAGUAAUUUCAAGCUAUUAACUUAUUUCCACAUCGCGAAAUCGCGAUAAAUACGACGGCUCUGUUGUAUCAAUUUCACCCUUUCCAUGAAUACAACAACUUUAGCAUCGGCAAAUUUAUUUACGCUUUAGAGGAGUAACAUAUUGAACUGUUAAUGACAUAAUAUCAUUUGUUGUGCUUUUUUGAGAAAGUAACGAUAUGAACAUCUUUAAUCAGAUCUGAAACACACGACGCCAUGCAACAAGAUCGCUAAGAAUGGUAUAGGUAUAUCACGCGGCUCAAGUCGCCGAAACUCGAAAGGCCAAAACAUGAUUGUCAAAUACGUCUAUCAUCGUAUACAUUGCUUCUAAAAUUUCUUUCUAGUUUCGCUUUCCACGAUUGUUUUAAAUGAUGACUCUUCUAGACUGAUAUUCAUACUAUCAUAUUCUAUAACAUUUGGAAUUUUAGGAUAAAUACCCAGCACGAGCAACUCAUGAGAACACUAUAUAGCAUUCGUUACCAACAAGAAAAAUCAUCUUUUAAGCUUCGAUUUUUCGAACGAAGGCCCCUGAUCAGUAAGUUAGUAGACGAAGGGCCUUCUCUCGAAACAUCGAAGCUUCAAAGUUGAUUUUUCAUGUUGGUAACGAAUGCUAGUGUUUUCAUGAGUUGCUCAUGUUGGUAGGCUUAUGUAUCCUAAAGUUUCAAAUGUUAUAGAAUAUAUCAGUCUAAAAGGUCGUGUCAUCUUUAAAACAAUCAUGGAAAGGCGAAACUAGCAAGAAAUUUUCGAAACAAUGUAGACGAUGCUAGACGUAUUUGACCAUGUUUUGGCCUUUCGAGUUUUGGCGACUUGAGGCGCAUGAUAUACCAUUCUUAGCGAUCUUGCAUGUUGGCGUCGUGUGUUUCAGAUAUUAAAUAUGUUUAUAUCGUUAGUUUCUCAAAAAAGCGCCACAAAUGAUAUUAUGUCAUUAACAGUUCAAUAUCUUACUCCUUCAAAGCGUAAAUUUGCCGAUGCCAAAGUUGUUCUAUUCAUGGAAGGGUGAAAUUAAUACAGGGUCUUGUACUACUUGUAGAUGGAAAUUAUCGAGUGGAAAUUUAUAUGCAUUUAUUAGACCUAACCAGGAACAGUUGGGAAAAAUGCAGCUACAUGUAACUACAUGUCCCUGGCAUGAGGAACAGAGCCGCGUGCGUGAAAUUAGACGGCUCAACUUUGCGCGAAUUAUUCAGUCGGGGUUUCGCGAUGUGGAAAUAAGUGAAAUUACUUUCGAAUCAUUCGUUAGAACGGUCAUGAUCAUGAAUCAAAAUCAUUAUAAAGGUAAAAAAAUAAGGCUUAUAUUUUCAGGUAGCUGUAUCCCUCUCACUACAGCGCUUAAUAUUCAACGAUAGUACUCCUUCAUAUGCCUAUUUUAAAUUGGAUAUAGCUUAAAAAGUCGAUUAAAUGAAACAAAAACGGUUUCUAUAGAAUGUAUCAGUCUAUAGAAGAGGCAUCUUUAAAACAAUCGUGGAAAGGCGAAACUAGCAAGAAAUUUUCGAAGCGAUUUACACGAAGCUAUACAUACUUGACAUGUUUUGACCUUUUGGAGUUUCACCUGAUUUUAGCGACCUUGUUUGCGCGUCGUGUGUUUCAGAUAAUAAAGAUGUUUAUAUCGUUAGUUCUUCAAAAAGCGCAACAAACGAUAUUUUCUCAUUAACAGUUCAAUAUCCUACUCCUCCAAAGCGUAAAUUUGCCGAUAGUAAAGUGGAUAUAUUCAUGAAAGGGUGAAAUUAAUACAACAACAGCAGCAACAACAACAACAACAACCAACAACAACAAAGAUUUAUUUGUACCCCAAAAAAUAAAAUAUUUACAUUUUUUUAAUUAUAUGAGAAAAAAAUAUUUGAGAAGAGCACCUGCUACCUGUAAUAACCAUAAUGGCUAAUAAGAUCAGGCAGCAGAAACAAGUCAGACUGGGUUUACGAAUUUAUAAAUUACUUAAGAAGAAGAAAAAAGAAAAAAAAACUAGAAAAAGAAACAAUCCACUCAAUGUUUAAAAGCAAUCUUAGGAAGAGAGGCAAACAAUGUGUCAUUCUGAGAUGAUGUAUAGCCGCACGUGAAAUUAGAUAGCUCAACUUUGCGCGAGUUAUUUAUCGCGGUUUCGCGAUGUGGAAAUAAUUAAAAGCUUGAAAUUACUUUCGAAUAUAUUCUUUAGAAUGGUCAUAAAUCAAGUUUUAAAGUUUUUCAUUAUAAAAGUUUUAAAAAUAAGGCUUUGAACGAGCUUUGCGAUCGAUACGAAAGCUGACCAGCCCCUUUGUCAGAAAAAACAGUGAUCUUUCACAAGCCACCAUGGACUAACGGAACGGAAUAUAAUGUUUUCAUUUUCUCUCUCGUACUAAGGAAUAUGACAAGGAAAAAUGGUCUUUCAAAAAAAUUGGAUUUCCGUCGGUGCUUAAGCGGCCAAAGCAGUUUGUUUACAAACUAGUCGUUCCAGCUCCAGAUUGAAAUCGUAUCUGGAGACUUUUGUGGGGCCGUCUCGCUUCGUAAUUGUUGUGUAUUGGACUUUUAAGCGCAACGCAAGUUGCCUCGUUUCUGUUAAAUUCAUAUUCUGUGGUUUUUAGUGUUUAUUUUCUGUUGUAGUUCUUGAUAAAACUCCACUCUAACAGUAUACAGUGAUGACUGAAAACUGCCAAAAAGCAAAUUUCGGGUCCGAUCAAACUAUUCCUUCAAGGAAUUUAAUUUUACAAGCAAAUUUACAAAGUGAACCUAUUAGAGAAAUACAAGAAUGGGUACAGGAGCAAGAAAUUGCCCCAGGAUCAGAGAGCAUUAGAUCAGAUGUUACACAAAAGAUGUUGUUAUUUUGGAGAAGUAUCCCGAAAGGUUCCACUUGUGUAACGUUCAAGAAAAGUUCAGAGCAUUAUCUACAUGCAGAUGGUUUCCCGUGCCACAAAGUGCCCCACUACUAUCAAUGAUGACGAUUUGAUGUUAAGACUUUAUACACUUUAGCUGACAGUUAACAGUGAUUUAUUUUAUUAUGUUUAUGAUUAUUUAUGUAGGACAUGCAAUGGUUUUUGGCUGUGAUGUAAUCAGAAUUAAUGAGUGGGUUGUAUAUAACAUGAAUGGUAUUAUAAUGCCUUGGUCGGCCAAGGAUGGUUGCAUAAAAAAAAAUUAAAAUUAUCAUUUUCCUUG
rnacentral:lncRNA from 1 species